rnacentral:rRNA from 1 species
UGGGGAAUAUUGCACAAUGGGGGAAACCCUGAUGCAGCGACGCCGCGUGGAGGAAGAAGGUCUUCGGAUUGCAAACUCCUGUUGUUGAGGAAGAUGAUGACGGUACUCAACAAGGAAGUGACGGCUAACUACGUGCCAGCAGCCGCGGUAAAACGUAGGUCACAAGCGUUGUCCGGAAUUACUGGGUGUAAAGGGAGCGCAGGCGGGAAGACAAGUUGGAAGUGAAAUCUAUGGGCUCAACCCAUAAACUGCUUUCAAAACUGUUUUUCUUGAGUAGUGCAGAGGUAGGCGGAAUUCCCGGUGUAGCGGUGGAAUGCGUAGAUAUCGGGAGGAACACCAGUGGCGAAGGCGGCCUACUGGGCACCAACUGACGCUGAGGCUCGAAAGUGUGGGUAGCAAACAGGAUUAGAUACCCUGGUAGUCCACACCGUAAACGAUGAUUACUAGGUGUUGGAGGAUUGACCCCUUCAGUGCCGCAGUUAACACAAUAAGUAAUCCACCUGGGGAGUACGACCGCAAGGUUGAAACUCAAAGGAAUUGACGGGGGCCCGCACAAGCAGUGGAGUAUGUGGUUUAAUUCGACGCAACGCGAAGAACCUUACCAAGUCUUGACAUCCUGCGACGAUGCUGGAAACAGUAUUUUCCUUCGGGACGCAGAGACAGGUGGUGCAUGGUUGUCGUCAGCUCGUGUCGUGAGAUGUUGGGUUAAGUCCCGCAACGAGCGCAACCCUUACUGUCAGUUACUACGCAAGAGGACUCUGGCAGGACUGCCGUUGACAAAACGGAGGAAGGUGGGGAUGACGUCAAAUCAUCAUGCCCUUUAUGACUUGGGCUACACACGUACUACAAUGGCGUUAAACAAAGAGAAGCAAGACCGCGAGGUGGAGCAAAACUCAGAAACAACGUCCCAGUUCGGACUGCAGGCUGCAACUCGCCUGCACGAAGUCGGAAUUGCUAGUAAUCGUGGAUCAGCAUGCCACGGUGAAUACGUUCCC